rnacentral:rRNA from 1 species
UACGUAGGGUGCAAGCGUUGUCCGGAAUUAUUGGGCGUAAAGAGCUCGUAGGUGGUCUGUCACGUCGGCUGUGAAAUCCCGAGGCUCAACCUCGGGUCUGCAGUCGAUACGGGCAAACUAGAGUAUUGCAGGGGAGACUGGAAUUCCUGGUGUAGCGGUGAAAUGCGCAGAUAUCAGGAGGAACACCGAUGGCGAAGGCAGGUCUCUGGGCCGAUACUGACGCUGAGGAGCGAAAGCGUGGGGAGCGAACAGG